AUGAACGCUGGCGGCGUGCCUAACACAUGCAAGUCGAACGGAUUUACUCGCUGCUAAGACUUCGGUCAAAGCUUGAGUAAAGUUAGUGGCGGACGGGUGAGUAACGCGUGGGCAACCUGCCUCAUACUGGGGGAUAACAGUUGGAAACGGCUGUUAAUACCGCAUAAGCGCACAGUGUCGCAUGACACAGUGUGAAAAACUCCGGUGGUAUGAGAUGGGCCCGCGUCAGAUUAGCCAGUUGGCGGGGUAACGGCCCACCAAAGCGACGAUCUGUAGCCGGACUGAGAGGUCGGACGGCCACAUUGGGACUGAGACACGGCCCAAACUCCUACGGGAGGCAGCAGUGGGGGAUAUUGCACAAUGGAGGAAACUCUGAUGCAGCGACGCCGCGUGAGUGAAAGAAGUAUUUCGGCAUGUAAAGCUCUAUCAGCAGGGAAGAAAGGCUCGUAAGAGAGAUGACGGUACCUGACUAAGAAGCCCCGGCUAACUACGUGCCAGCAGCUGC
rnacentral:rRNA from 1 species